UAAAUUAAGUUCUGUUUAAAUAUAGUACAUGUUAGAAUAACCAAACUUUUUAAAUAGUAGGCCCGGUUGUGCGCUGACGCCUGACCAAAAUGGUUUCGUGAGUGUAAAUAUUUUCAAAACAAUAAUAACCUUAAAUAGGUUAUAGUGAAGUGAAUUAAUUAUUAAAUUAAAUAAUGUAAAUAUUUAUCGAUGAAUUCGACACAGGGAAACUAAGGUUUAGCAGUGUAAACGCACGAAUAUUGCACAGGAGGGAUCGCACUGUUUGCAGAAGGGAUUCUCUACGUAAGCGGCAUUGGUA